rnacentral:rRNA from 1 species
AGCAGCCGCGGUAAUUCCAGCUCCAAUAGCGUAUAUUAAAGUUGUUGCAGUUAAAAAGCUCGUAGUUGAAUUUCGGGGUUAGUAGGUUGGUCAUGCCCCUGGUAUGUACUGGUCUCACUGAUUCCUCCUUCCUUAUGAACCGUAAUGCCAUUAAUUUGGUGUUGCGGGAAAUUUGGACUGUUACUUUGAAAAAAUUAGAGUGUUUAAAGCAAGCUAACGCUUGAAUACAUUAGCAUGGAAUAAUGAAAUAGGACGUUCGAUCUUAUUUUGUUGGUUUCUAGGAUUGACGUAAUGAUUAAUAGGGAUAGUUGGGGGGCAUUAGUAUUCAAUUGUCAGAGGUGAAAUUCUUGGAUUUAUUGAAGACUAACUACUGCGAAAGCAUUUUGCCAAGGAUGUUUUCAUUAAUCAAGAACGAAAGUUAGGGGAUCGAAGACGAUCAGAUACCGUCGUAGUCUUAACCAUAAACUAUGCCGACUAGGGAUCGGAUGAUGUUAAUUUUUUUAAUGACUCAUUCGGCGCC